rnacentral:misc_RNA from 1 species
GAACGCACCUUGCGCCCCUUGGAUAUUCCGAAGGGCAUGCCUGUUCGAGCGUCAUUAUCACCCCUCAAGCCCCCGGCUUGGUGUUGGAUGGUUUGGUGACAGAGCCCUUGGGCCACGGUCACCCCUCCCAAAGACAAUGACGGCGGCCUCGUUGGACCCCCGGUACACUGAGUUCUUCACCGAACACGUACUGGAUCAAGGGCCCGCGGAGCACGGUCUGCCUCCCCUCAGGGAGAACUUUUUUCUCAAGGUUGACCUCGGAUCAGGUAGGAAUACCCGCUGAACUUAAG